rnacentral:rRNA from 1 species
UACAGAUCGUGUGAAUCAUCGAAUCUUUGAACGCACCUUGCACUUUAAGAGUCGAUCUUAAAGUAUACCUGUUUGAGUAUCAUAAACAUUUAUCCAAUUUAUUGGGAUUUGAUGGAUCAAUUAGUCAAGCUGAUUGUCUGUUUAAAUGUAGUAGGGCAUCAGGGAUAAGCGCGCUUAUUUCUUGAAUGAGGAUAUUUACUCUUGUAGUAAAGUAAUCAGGAAAGAAUGAGAAGCGGAUCCAUGGGACUCUUUAAAUUUUCGCACACUUUGCUUCGCUUCGGAGGAGGAGAGUGUGGAAUACUCGUACAAAUGUGAUCUCAAAUCAGGCAAGACUACCCGCCGAACUUAAGCAUAUCAAUAAGCGGAGG